rnacentral:RNase_P_RNA from 1 species
CCAGGGGGCCGGGCGACCGCGGCGUAGGAAUACGGCGAGGAAAGUCCGGGCUCCACGAAAAGACGGUGCCAGCUAACGGCUGGCGAGGGUAACCUCAGGGACAGUGCAACAGAGAGCAGGUCGCUAAGACUUCGGUCCAGUGACAGUGAAAGGGUGCGGUAAGAGCGCACCGCGUCCCCGGCAACGGGCGACGGCAUGGUAAACCCCACCGGGAGCAAGACCGAAUAGGGGCGGCGCGGCGAGCAAUCGCCAAGGCAUUUUUCGGCCUGGACCGCCCGGGUUGGUUGCUUGAGGCCAUGAGCGAUCAUGGUCCUAGAGGAAUGGUCGCCCAGUCAUCGCAAGAUGAUGGACAGAACCCGGCUUACAGGCCCCCUGGCACU